rnacentral:misc_RNA from 1 species
ACGUUUUGUUGUUGUUCGCCAUAAAAACGCGGGGCUUCGGCAGCAUCUAGAGCUGUAUUGCUUAUCGAUUAAAUAUUUCUGCCCAGGAACAUGGAGUCUGAACCAGAUAGCACUGGAAAUCGCAAUGGGCUAGUUAUUCCAAAGAAUCACAGGAAACUGCAUUUACUAAAAGUUGACCACUUAUAUCACCUCGCCUUGGAUACUGAAAAAGAUGAUCUCGAAAAAAUGUUCGGUGAUGUUCGAUUCGUGUGUUUUGGCGGACAACCGUCCAGGAUGGAAAAAUUUUCCGCUCUCGUUGCCAGAGAAUUGAACAUCGAUGAUCACGAGAUGGACGGUGACAGACCAAAGAACUAUGCGGCAGGGACGGACCGUUAUUCCAUUCAUAAAGUGGGACCAGUUCUAUCAGUCAGCGUGAGUCAGUAGUUUUAUUGCAAGUAAAACAACAAGACAAGCAAGAUGGGCAUACAAUUGUGCCAUCAUCAGAAAAUCCUCGACUUUGUAGUUUGGUAUAUAUGCUUUGCUUUUAAUGAUCCAGUCAUCAAGCUUUGAUGUCGUUAGAGUUCAGUUGCAGAAUGUACUGGCUUUAUACGAUUAAAAAAAUGCUACAUCACUAAUUCAACCUAUGGGAAUGUAAUUUGAAAGUUUGUUGUUUUGUUUUUGAGGGUCACAUCAAAGGAAAAUACAUACGGUAUAUAGGAAUUGCAGAAGGUUUUUUUUACCUGAUGAACCCCUCUGCAUAAGUUGCAUUUCAAGCGAGUACAUGUGUAGAUUAAAAUCGGUUUUGUUAUUUGUAGCAUGGUAUCGGAAUUCCCUCGCUGUCUGUUGUGUUCAACGAGAUUAUCAAAUUGGUUCAUUAUGCCAAAUGUAAAGAUGUCGAGUUCUUCAGGAUCGGAACAUGCGGCGGGUUAGGUUUGGAGCCGGGAACAGUGGUGGUUACAGAAAAAGCGGUGGACGGUGAAAUGAACCCGUACUAUAAACUGGCUGUGUUGGGUAAACCUGUACAACGGUUGGCGAAAGUGGACCAGACCUUGUUGGAAUCGCUUUUGAGAUGUUCAGAACCUGAUGACGAUUUCAAGACGGUCAAGGGAACAACGUUCUGUUCAGACGAUUUCUACGAAGGCCAAGCAAGGUUAGAUGGCGCCUUUUGCGAGUAUGAGGAAGAGGACAAGAUGAAAUUUCUUCAGGAGCUUCGGAACAAAGGCGUCUGUAAUAUAGAAAUGGAAUCGCUUGGUUUCUUAGCCAUGUGUCACUAUGCGGGAGUCAAAGGCGCGGUCGCGUGUGUGACAUUACUGGACAGGUUACAACAAGACACGUUGUCAUGUGAUGUAAGUAUGUUGAAGAGAUGGCAGGUGCGCCCCCAGAACGUCGUCCUCAGACAUAUCAAAAAGAAGCUUCAUAUCACGAACGGUAAAAGUUAAGAAGGACUACCUCUUGUUAGUUUUGUGCGAUCAGGGAGCACAGUGGAACAAAUUCACAAAAUUAGCAUUAGCCAUUUGUUCAUCUGUUAACGGAAGUUUGGAAUCUGCAUUUAUCUACUUAUACAUAUGUUUGUUUAUUAAAUGUGUUCAAAAGUCUGAACAAUUGAUUAAAAAAAACUUUUAAAUCUGCAGUGAGCAGUACUUGCUAGGAUUAGCAAUUUUUAUAUUUUGAUAAAGUUAUUCUGGUCAGACUGCUUUCUGUUAAACGCAGCUUUUUGUUUGUUUUUAUUUUAUUAAACAUAGGAUAGUUCCGCCAAAUGAUUAAUUUCUGCACAAAAGCUUUACGUUUUUUGUGUUAAAAAGAAUGGGGUGAAAAUGAGUGAACUCUUUUUUGAUAAGUUCAAUCAUUCACUUCCCAAUGUUAUUUUACGAAUACCAUUUUGUACACGUUGUACUCGUUUAUAGUACGGCCAAGUGUUUUUGGGUUUAUAUUGUAUGUGUUUUUAGUAGAAUCCUUGCAGCUAUCUACAUAUGAUUUGCAUCCAAUGUUACAAGUUCAUGUAAAUGUGGCAUGCGGUGUUCAGCCAAAAUAAGACGGUGUUUUGAUUGUUUAUUAUAGUUGAAUAAAAAUCAAAUAAUGC